rnacentral:rRNA from 1 species
UGAACGCUGGCGGUAGGCUUAACACAUGCAAGUCGAGCGGAAACGAUGAUAGCUUGCUAUCAGGUGUCGAGCGGCGGACGGGUGAGUAACGCGUAGGAAUCUGCCUAGUAGUGGGGGACAACCUGUGGAAACGCAGGCUAAUACCGCAUAAUCCCUGAGGGGGAAAGGAGGGGAUCUUCGGACCUUUCGCUAUUAGAUGAGCCUGCGUGAGAUUAGCUAGUUGGUGAGGUAAAGGCUCACCAAGGCGACGAUCUCUAGCUGGUCUGAGAGGAUGAUCAGCCACACUGGGACUGAGACACGGCCCAGACUCCUACGGGAGGCAGCAGUGGGGAAUAUUGGACAAUGGGCGCAAGCCUGAUCCAGCCAUACCGCGUGUGUGAAGAAGGCCUUAGGGUUGUAAAGCACUUUCAGAAGGGAGGAAAGGUUGAUGUUUAAUACGCAUUAGCUGUGACGUUACCUUCAGAAGAAGCACCGGCUAACUCU